AUACUGGAGAACAAGUGAAGACUUAGGAAAAAGGACAACUCCUUAGACUUAUGCUCUUUCUGUGCAAUAAGGAUGGCAUUCAUCUCAUGGAAAUUUAAGACACUUGCAGCUUCCUGUAAUGUGUGCAUAGAAGCUGCACACUGUGUUCAGGAGUGAUGCACCCAUCCAGCAUGUCUGUACAGUAGUUCUGCCCUCCCUAUAAAAGCCACCAAAGUACUGUAGUAGUGCCUGGAGAAAGAAAGGGCCUAGGAAGUAAAACUUAAUGUUUACCUGUCUGAUAAUUACUCCCUUGUGAUAGAAAUCAGUUGUUUCUAUAACAGAAUAGGUUUUUGCAAAACUG
rnacentral:lncRNA from 1 species